rnacentral:rRNA from 1 species
UGGGGAAUAUUGCACAAUGGGGGAAACCCUGAUGCAGCGACGCCGCGUGGGGGAUGACGGCCUUCGGGUUGUAAACCUCUUUCAGUAGGGAAGAAGCCUUCGGGUGACGGUACCUGCAGAAGAAGUACCGGCUAACUACGUGCCAGCAGCCGCGGUAAUACGUAGGGUACAAGCGUUGUCCGGAAUUAUUGGGCGUAAAGAGCUCGUAGGUGGUCUGUCACGUCUGCUGUGGAAACGCAAGGCUCAACCUUGCGCGUGCAGUGGGUACGGGCGGACUAGAGUGCAGUAGGGGAGUCUGGAAUUCCUGGUGUAGCGGUGAAAUGCGCAGAUAUCAGGAGGAACACCGGUGGCGAAGGCGGGACUCUGGGCUGUAACUGACGCUGAGGAGCGAAAGCAUGGGGAGCGAACAGGAUUAGAUACCCUGGUA